rnacentral:misc_RNA from 1 species
GAAUGCCGCCCAACCCCUACCCACUUCAGUCGCCGUGAAAUCUGAGCGCACAUCUCCAGGAUCGGGCCCCUAUUGCCCUCGGGGAUUGUUACCAUCAGCGGGGUGAAUUCAUCGAGGUCCACCACCGCACGUAUAACGUGUCUGGCGGUUUCGGCUUUAUCCGCCUCCCUCCGGCUCUUGUCAGCUCCUAUGGCCGCCUCAGGCAUCGACUAGGCGGCCUUAAUCUCCCGAGCGACUGUGUCGUCGGAAUCUCUAGGUCUAAGGGCAAUGUCACUGACGACCACUGGCCCACCUCCCGCAGCGAGCUCAUGAUGCUGCCCGCUACGCUCCCCUCUGAAGACGGAUCUGGCUCCCUUCGCCUGAC